AAAAAAAAAAAAAAAAAACUAAUACAACUUUCUUCCUUUUGAGAUUUGUUAGACAGGGCAAGAAGGAGUUUGAGUCUACCGUUAAUUUUUUCAUAUUCCUAAGGCAAAACUUUUCUAUCUAAUUAUUUGUGAAUUGUGAGGUUUUCUGCUCUGGCUAUGGGAAUAAGAACUAUUUCCACAAAUGGAUUAGCUCCAAGGAUUAUCCCUCUAAUCUUUUUGGCUGUUCUUUCCCCAGCCUCAGGUAUUUUUUUCCUCCUGCAUGUGUUGAUCAGUACUCAGUGAAAGACUCCAGAGGGAAACUCUUCAGGUCUCUGGGGAUCUUUCUUUUUUCAGCCCCAGUACUGCUACUCGUAGACUCUAGCAACCAUGGCCCCCUGAGAAUCCUAGAUCAGGAAGUCUCUUCAACUCAGGGUGAUCAAUGAGAUUGGCCUGCAUUUCUUCACCCUACACCAUGACUGGAAACCCUGUAGGGCCUGACUUUCCUGUUGGAAUGUGAAAAGAAAUGGGUUUUGAUUCCAUUGACAUUGGAUAAAUUCCAACAAAUCAUGCUAGGAUUGGAGCUACCAUGUUCAAAAGGUUAUCGCAGCCUUCCCAAGUCCACCCUCCCAC
rnacentral:lncRNA from 1 species